GCCAGGCAUGGUGGUGUGUGCCUGUGUUCCCAGCUACUCUGGAGGCUGAGGCAGGAGAAUCACUUGAGCCCAGGAGGUCAAGGAUGCAGUGAACCUUGAUCGUGCCACUGCACUCCAGCCUGGGUGAAAGAGUGAGACUCUGUCUCUA
rnacentral:SRP_RNA from 1 species